rnacentral:tRNA from 1 species
GGCUGGAGAGAUGGCUCAGCAGUUAAGAGCGCUGACUGCUCUUCCAGAGGUCCUGAGUUCAAUUCCCAGAAGCCA